UGCGUAGGGGGCGAGCGUUAUCCGGAUUCACUGGGUGUAAAGGGAGCGUAGACGGCCAUGCAAGCCAGGGGUGAAAGCCCGGGGCCCAACCCCGGGACUGCCCUUGGAACUGCAUGGCUGGAGUGCGGGAGGGGCAGGCGGAAUUCCUGGUGUAGCGGUGAAAUGCGUAGAUAUCAGGAGGAACACCGGCGGCGAAGGCGGCCUGCUGGACUGCGACUGACGUUGAGGCUCGAAAGCGUGGGGAGCGAACAGG
rnacentral:rRNA from 1 species